rnacentral:rRNA from 1 species
GUGGGGAAUAUUGGACAAUGGGCGAAAGCCUGAUCCAGCCAUGCCGCGUGAGUGAAGAAGGCCCUAGGGUUGUAAAGCUCUUUCACCGGUGAAGAUAAUGACUGUAGCCGGAGAAGAAGCCCCGGCUAACUUCGUGCCAGCAGCCGCGGUAAUACGAAGGGGGCUAGCGUUGUUCGGAAUUACUGGGCGUAAAGCGCGCGUAGGCGGAUACUUAAGUCAGUGGUGAAAUCCCGAGGCUCAACCUCGGAACUGCCUUUGAUACUGGGUAUCUUGAGUUCGAGAGAGGUAAGUGGAAUUCCGAGUGUAGAGGUGAAAUUCGUAGAUAUUCGGAGGAACACCAGAGGCGAAGGCGGCUUACUGGCUCGAUACUGACGCUGAGGCGCGAAAGCGUGGGGAGCAAACAGG